rnacentral:rRNA from 1 species
AGCAGCCGCGGUAAUUCCAGCUCCAAUAGCGUAUAUUAAAGUUGUUGCAGUUAAAAAGCUCGUAGUUGAAUUUCGGGAUCAGAUUGUCGGUCGUGCCUCGGUACGCACUGGCAUUAUUGGUUCCUACCUUCUGAAGAACCGCGAUGUCAUUAAUUUGGUGUCGUGGGGAAUCAGGACUGUUACUUUGAAAAAUUAGAGUGUUUAAAGCAGGCGCACGCUUGAAUACAUUAGCAUGGAAUAAUGAAAUAGGACGUUUGAUUCUAUUUUGUUGGUUUCUAGGAUCGACGUAAUGAUUAAUAGGGAUAGUUGGGGGCAUUAGUAUUCAAUUGUCAGAGGUGAAAUUCUUGGAUUUAUUGAAGACUAACUACUGCGAAAGCAUUUGCCAAGGAUGUUUUCAUUAAUCAAGAACGAAAGUUAGGGGAUCGAAGACGAUCAGAUACCGUCGUAGUCUUAACCAUAAACUAUGCCGACUAGGGAUCGGAUGAUGUUGAUUUUAUAAUGACUCAUUC